GAUGAACGCUAGCGGCAGGCCUAAUACAUGCAAGUCGAACGGUGUCCUCGGACAUAGUGGCGCACGGGUGCGUAACACGUAUGCAACCUACCUUACAUUGGGGGAUAGCCUUUCGAAAGGGAGAUUAAUACCGCAUAAGACAGUAGCUGGGCAUCCAGCAGCUGUUAAAGAUUUAUCGAUGUAAGCUGGGCAUGCGUCCAAUUAGCUAGUUGGUGAGGUAACGGCUCACCAAGGCAAUGAUUGGUAGGGGAACUGAGAGGUCAAUCCCCCACACUGGCACUGAGAUACGGGCCAGACUCCUCCGGGAGGCAGCAGUAGGGAAUAUUGGGCAAUGGACGCAAGUCUGACCCAGCCAUGCCGCGUGCAGGAUGAAGGCGUUAUGCGUUGUAAACUGCUUUUAUACAGGAAGAAACGACUCUUGCGAGAGGCAUUGACGGUACUGUAUGAAUAAGCACCGGCUAACUCCGUGCCAGCCGCCGCGGUAACAC
rnacentral:rRNA from 1 species